AUUUUAUGAUGGGGAAAUCUUCUCAACAAUUCCUUAAACCACUCCCAUGCAUCGUAUAAUGGCUCUCCCUCUAUUCAAUGGAAAUUAUUUAUCUCAUCCCUCAAUCU